GAUCAUGGCUCAGGAUGAACGCUGGCGGCGUGCUUAACACAUGCAAGUCGAACGAAGCACUUUGAUCGAUUUCUUCGGAUUGAAAUUUUAGUGACUGAGUGGCGGACGGGUGAGUAACGCGUGGGUAACCUGCCUCACACAGGGGGAUAACAGUUGGAAACGGCUGCUAAUACCGCAUAAGCGCACGGUACCGCAUGGUACGGUGUGAAAAACUCCGGUGGUGUGAGAUGGACCCGCGU
rnacentral:rRNA from 1 species